rfam:Tetrahymena thermophila SB210 genomic scaffold scf_8254548, whole genome shotgun sequence.
GGGCAAUUGGUCUAUUAGGUAGGAUUCUCGUCUCCAAUUCGAGAGAUCCAGGUUCGAUUCCUGGAUUGCCCC